rnacentral:rRNA from 1 species
UACGGAGGGUGCGAGCGUUAAUCGGAAUAACUGGGCGUAAAGGGCACGCAGGUGGCUUUUUAAGUGGGAUGUGAAAGCCCCGGGCUCAACCUGGGAAUAGCAUUUCAGACUGGGAGUCUAGAGUGCAUUAGGGAAGGGUAGAAUUCCACGUGUAGCGGUGAAAUGCGUAGAGAUGUGGAGGAAUACCGAAGGCGAAGGCAGCCCCUUGG